rnacentral:rRNA from 1 species
GGAGCAUGUGGUUUAAUUCGAUGAUACGCGAGGAACCUUACCAAGGCUUAAAUGGGAAUUGACAGGUUUAGAAAUAGACUUUUCUUCGGACAAUUUUCAAGGUGCUGCAUGGUUGUCGUCAGCUCGUGCCGUGAGGUGUUAGGUUAAGUCCUGCAACGAGCGCAACCCCUGUCACUAGUUGCCAUCAUUCAGUUGGGGACUCUAGUGAGACUGCCUACGCAAGUAGAGAGGAAGGUGGGGAUGACGUCAAAUCAUCACGGCCCUUACGCCUUGGGCCACACACGUAAUACAAUGGCCAGUACAGAGGGCAGCUACACAGCGAUGUGAUGCAAAUCUCGAAAGCUGGUCUCAGUUCGGAUUGGAGUCUGCAACUCGACUCUANGAA